GCAGGAGUAGUCUAGUGGUUAUGAUGUCGCCUUUACACGGCGAAGGUCGGGGGUUCGAUCCCCCCCUCUUGUA